rnacentral:rRNA from 1 species
GAUGAACGCUGGCGGCGUGCCUAAUACAUGCAAGUCGAGCGAACGGACGAGAAGCUUGCUUCUCUGAUGUUAGCGGCGGACGGGUGAGUAACACGUGGAUACCCUACCUAUAAGACUGGGAUAACUUCGGGAAACCGUAGCUAAUACCGGAUAAUAUUUUGAACCGCAUGGUUCAAAAGUGAAAGACGGUCUUGCUGUCACUUAUAGAUGGAUCCGCGCUGCAUUAGCUAGUUGGUAAGGUAACGGCUUACCAAGGCAACGAUGCAUAGCCGACCUGAGAGGGUGAUCGGCCACACUGGAACUGAGACACGGUCCAGACUCCUACGGGAGGCAGCAGUAGGGAAUCUUCCGCAAUGGGCGAAAGCCUGACGGAGCAACGCCGCGUGAGUGAUGAAGGUCUUCGGAUCGUAAAACUCUGUUAUUAGGGAAGAACAUAUGUGUAAGUAACUGUGCACAUCUUGACGGUACCUAAUCAGAAAGCCACGGCUAACUACGUG